AUUAUGUUCAGUAGUUUUGACAUUAUGUUCAGUAGUUUUGACAUUAUGUUCGGUGCUUUGGUUAUUAUGUUCAGUAGUUUCAUUAUUAUAUGCAGUGGUAGUUAAAUUAUGUUCGGUACUUCUGACGUUAUAUUCAGUGCAUUUUUCAUUAUGUUCAGUACUUUCGACAUUAUGUUCAGUAGAUUCAAUAUUAUUUGCAGUACAUUAUGUAUUAUCUUCAGUG
rnacentral:lncRNA from 1 species